rnacentral:tRNA from 1 species
GUGGAGCAGUUGGCAGCUCGUCGGGCUCAUAACCCGAAGGUCGUAGGUUCAAGUCCUGCCUCCGCAACCA